rnacentral:lncRNA from 1 species
UCACUUUUAUCAUUGUAUUUUGAAGAUUGUAGACUAUCCACUUUUAAACAAAUAGUUUAAUUUUCUAACAUUGAUUUUUUCUUAAAAAAAAAUAAAUUAACCUUUUUGUGAAAAAUUUUAUUUGACAUUAGAAGAUACAAAUUAUCCUUCUCUAAUUUGAUUUGUACAUUCAGUAAGUCAUUUCAAAUAGAAGAAAAAAUUAUAGAUUUUGUACUUGGCAAAAGUAAAAAAAAGAUUUACAACAAUCACAAAUAUUGACCAACUUGUCAACAUUCUUAAGAUGAAAAAAUUAUACAUCAUCAAUACCAACCAUGGAAGCACUGUAAAUAUGAACAAUCAA